rnacentral:rRNA from 1 species
UACAGAGGGUGCAAGCGUUAAUCGGAAUCACUGGGCGUAAAGGGCGCGUAGGUGGCCUGAUAAGGGUGUGGUGAAAGUCCGGGGCUCAACCCCGGAUCUGCCGUGCCGACUGUUGGGCUGGAGUACUGUAGGGGCAGGCGGAAUCCGGGUGGAGUGGUGAAAUGCGUAGAGAUCCGGAGGAACACCAAAGGCGAAGGCAGUGUCCUGGGGAGUACCUG